AUUGAACGCUGGCGGCAGGCCUAACACAUGCAAGUCGAACGAGCGGCGGACGGGUGAGUUAUGUCUGGGACUCGCCCAGUAGGGGGGGAUAACAGUUAGAAACGACUGAUAAUACCGCAUAAGCUUGGAUUCCCGAGGUGGGUUUCUCUUGUUGGUGGGGUAAUGGCGCACCAAGGCGACGAUCCCUCGCUGGUCUGAGAGGAUGAUCAGCCACACUGGAACGGGGACACGGUCCGGACUCCUACGGGAGGAAGAGGUGGGGAAUAUUGCACAAGGGGGGAAACCCUGAUGCAGCCAUGCCGCGUGGGUGAAGAAGGCCUUCGGGUUGUAAAGCACUUUCAGCGAGGAGGCGUUACUCGCAGAAGAAGCACCGGCUAACUCCGUGCCAGCAGCCGCGGUAAUUC
rnacentral:rRNA from 1 species